rnacentral:lncRNA from 1 species
UAGAGUUUUUUAUGUGAUUGUAGUUAAGUUGUCAUCAGCUUAAAAUAGACUGUUGAAACUAUACAUUGAUUUAUGUAAGCUCUGUGGUAACUGCCCAUACCUAGAUUCACUCUAGAUUUAAGAACUGAAAGUGAAGGGAUGGAAAAAGAUAUUACAUGCAAAUAGUACCCUAAAGAUAGCAGGGGUAACUAUAUUUUUAUCAGAUGAAACAGAUUUUAAGUAAAAAACUGUCACAGGAGACAAGGAUAUUACAUAAUGAUAAAAGAGUUAAUUUGCUAGAAGGAAACAAUUAUAUAUUCAGCCAGCAUUAGAGCACUUAAGAGUAUAAACAUCAACAGAACAGAGAAACUGUUAAUCAAUACAAUAAUGAUAGGAGACUUUAAUACCUCAUCUUCAAUAAUGCAUAGAACAUUGAGACAGAAAAUCAGUAAGGAAGCAGCCAACUUGAACAACAUUAUAGAUCAAAUGGACAAACAGAACAUUCUACCCAACAGCAGCAAAACACACAUUCUUCUCAAGCACACAUGGAACACUCUCCAUGAUAGACCACAUGUUAGAUCACAAAACAACUCUUUAAAAAAUUAAGAAGAUUGAAAUCAUACAAAACAUCUUUUCUCAUCACAGUAGAGUAAAACUAGAAAAUAUUAGCAGAAGGAAAGAUGAAAAACUCACAAGGAUGUGGAAAUUAAAUAAUACACUCUUCAAUAACCAAUGGGUCAAGGAAGAAAUCAAAAGAGAAAUUAGAAAACAUCUCAAAGAGUUCCCUUUGUGGCUCCUUGACCAGGAACCAUAAGAUUGUGGGUUCGAUCCCUGGCCUUGCUCAGUGGGUUAAGGAUCUGGCAUUGCCUUGAGCUGUGGAUUAGGUUGCAGAUGCGACUUGGAUCCUGCAUUGCUGUGGCUGUGGCAUAGGCUGAAGCUGUAGCUCCAAUUGGACCCCAGCCUGGGAACUUCCAUAUGCUGCAGGUGCAGCCCUAAAAAAGUGAAAAAAAAAAGAAAGAAAGAAAAUAUCUCAAGACAAAUGAAAAAGAAAAUAUAGUAUGCCAAAAAUUAUGGGAUGCAUCAAACAAAGCACUAAUUAGUAAGUUUAUAGUGAUAAAUUAUAAAUACAUUAUAAAGGAAGAAAAACCUCAAAUAAACAACCUGAUUUUAUAUCUUACAAAGUGGGAAAAGAACAAUUUAAGCCCAAAUUUAGCAGAGGGGGAAAAAAUAAAAAUCAGGGCAUAAAUAAACAAAAUGGAGAAUAGAAAAACAAUGGAAAAAUUUACAAAAUUAAGUUAUUAUUUAAAAAUGUAAAUAACUCAGCCAUAAAAAAGAAUGAAAUAAUGCCAUUUGCAGCAACAUGGAUGGAACUAGAGACUCUCAUACUGAGUGAAGUAAGUCAGAAAGAGAAAGACAAAUACCAUAUGAUACCCCUUAUAUCUGGAGUCUAAUAUACGGCACAAAUGAACCCUUCCACGGAAAAGAAAAUCAUGGACUUGGAGAAUAGACUUGUAGUUGCCAAGGGGGCGGGGGGAGGAAGUGGGAUGGAUUGGGAGCUUGGGGUUAAUAGAUGCAAACUAUUGCUUUUGGAAUGGAUUAGCAAUGGGAUCCUGCUGUGUAGGUAGCACUGAGAACUAUGUCUAGUAACUUAUGAUGGAGCCUGAUAAUGUGAGAAAAAAGAAUGUAUACAUGUAUGUGUAACUGGGUCACCAUGCUAUACAGUAGAAAAAAAAUUGUAUUGGGGAAAUAACAAUAAAAAUUUUUAAAAAAUUAAAAUGUAAACAAAAUUUAUAAUCUUUUACCUAGACAAAGAAAAAAGAAGACUGAAAUAAAAUCACAAAUGAAAGAGUAGACUUUACAAUUCAUAGCAUAAAAUAAAAAUGAUCAUAAGAGAUCACUAUGAACUAUUAUGCACCAACAAAUUGGAUAAUCUAAAAGAAAUGACAAAUUACUAAAAAUAUGGAUCCUAUGAAGAUUAAAUCAUGAAGAAAUAGAAAAUAUAAACAAAUCUGUAACUGUUAGGAGUCUGUAAUCAAGAAUUUCCCAAAAAGCAAAGCCAGGUGACUUUAUUGGUAAAUUCUGCUAAACAUUUAACGAAGAAUUAACACCAAUCCUUCUCAGUCUCUUCCAAAAAAUUGGAGGGAACACUUCCAAAAUUAUUUUAUGAGGCCAGCAUUACCCUAGUAACGUAGUCAAACAAAGAUACUUCAAGAAAAUAAAACUGUAGGCCAAUAUACCUUAUGGACAUAGAUACAAUUAUUCUCAACAAAAUAUUAGCAAACCCAAUUCAGCAGUGCAUUCAAAGAAUCAUAUACCAUGAUCAUGUGGAAUUUAUCCCUGGGAUACAAGGAUGAUUCAACACAUGAAAAUCAGUUACUGUGAAACACCACAUUAGCAUAAUAAAGGAUAAAAAUCUUUUGAUGAUCUUAAUAGAUGCAGAAAAAACAUUUGAUGAAAUUCGGCACCCUUUCAUAGAGAAAACCCUCAACAAACUAGAAAUAUAAGGCUAACUCAACUAGAAAUAUAAAGGCCAUCCAUGGAAGCCCAUAGUUAACAUUAUACAAAAUGGUGAAAAACUGAAAGCCAUUCAUAGCAGAUCAGGAAGAAGGCAAGAAUGCUCACUCGGUCCAUGUCUGUCCAAAUAAUACUAGAAGCCCUAGCCAGGGCAAUUGGGCAAUAGAGAGAAAUAAAGGCAUCCAAAUAGAAAAGGAAGAAGCAAAAUUACCUCUGUUUGCAGAUGAUAUAUGGUCUUAUAUGUAGAAAAUCCUAGAUUUCACUAAAUGAUUAUUCAAACUAAUAAAUUAAUUAAGUAGAAUUUUAGGAUACAGUAUAGAUGUAUGGAAUAGCCAGAAGUUUAUGUCCCUUGAAAAUUUAUACAUUGUAAUUCUAAUCCCUCAAGAUGAUGGCAAUAGGAGGUAGGAACUUUGAGAGAUGAUUAGACUGUGAGGGUGGAGCCAUCAGGGAUGAUAUUAAUGCCCUUAUUAAAGGGACCCAAGAAAGAUUGUUUGCCCUUCUGCCAUGUGAAGACAGUGAAAAUUGGCUAUUUAUGAACCAGAAAGCAGAUCUUCAGCAGACACCAAAUCUCCCAGUGACUAUAUUGUGGGACUUCCUCUCCUCUAGAACUGUGAGAAAUACAUUUCUGUUGUUUAUAAGCUACUCAGUCUAUGGUAUUUUGUUAGAGCAGCCCCAAAGAACAACACACAAAAAUCAAUUGCAUCUCUAUACACUAACAAGGCUCUUUAAAAAGGAAAGUAAGAAAACAAUCCCAUUUACAAUAGCAGCAGAAAGAAUAAACAACAAAGAAUAAACUUAACUAAGGAGGUAAAAGACAUACACUGAAAACUGCAAAAGAUUGAUGGAAGAAAUUAAAGAAGACACAAAUAAAUGUGUUCAUGGAUUAGAAGACUUUAUAUUAUUAAAAUGUCCAUACUAUCCGAAGUGAUUUACAGAUUCAAAAUCCCAAUGGCAUUUUUUUUACAGAAGGAGAAAAGAAAUCCUGAAAUUUAUAAAGAACCCUAAAGGACGCCAAAUAACCAAAACAAUCUUGAGAAAGAACAAAGCUAGAGGUAUCACAUUUUCUGAUUUAAAAAUAUAUUUAAAAGUUAUAGUAAUUAAGACAGUAUGGUGUUAGAAAGACAAGCAUAUAGACCAGUGGAAAAGAAUGGAACACCUGGAAAUAAACCCAUGUGUAUAUGCUUGAUCUUCAACAAGGAUGUCAUGAAUACACAGUAGAGAAGGGAUGAUCUCUUUGACAAAACAUACUGGAAAAACUGAAUAUCCACAUGCAAAGAAAAUGAUAUUAGGAGUUCCCGUCAUGGCGCAGUGGUUAACGAAUCCGACUGGGAACCAUGAGGUUGCGGGUUCGGUCCCUGCCCUUGCUCAGUGGGUUAAGGAUCCGGCGUUGCCGUGAGCUGCGGUGUAGGUUGCAGACGCGGCUCGGAUCCCGCGUUGCUGUGGCUCUGGUGUAGGCCAGCGGCUACAGCUCCGAUUCGACCCCUAGCCUGGGAACCUCCAUAUGCCGCGGGAGCGGCCCAAAGAAAU